GACGAACGCUGGCGGUGUGCUUAACACAUGCAAGUCGAACGGUAAGGCCCUUUCGGGGGUACACGAGUGGCGAACGGGUGAGUAACACGUGAGUAACCUGCCCUCAUCUCUGGGAUAACAGUCGGAAACGGUUGCUAAUACUGGAUAUGAGCUUGCAAGGCAUCUUGUGGGUUGGAAAGAUUUUUUUGGUUGGGGAUGGACUCGCGGCCUAUCAGCUUGUUGGUGAGGUAGUGGCUCACCAAGGCUUCGACGGGUAGCCGGCCUGAGAGGGCGACCGGCCACAUUGGGACUGAGAGACGGCCCAAACUCCGACGGGAGGCAGCAGUGGGGAAUAUUGCACAAUGGACGGAAGUCUGAGGCAGCAACGCCGCGUGCGGGAUGACGGCCUUCGGGUUGUAAACCGCUUUCAAUUGUGACGAAGCUUUUUUGUGACGGUAGCAGGAGAAGAAGCACCGGCUAACUACGUG
rnacentral:rRNA from 1 species